rnacentral:rRNA from 1 species
AACGAACGUUAGCGGCGCGCCUAACACAUGCAAGUCGAGCGAGAAAGGGCUUCGGCCCCGGUACAGCGGCGCACGGGUGAGUAACACGUAGGUAAUCUAGCCCCAGGUGGUGGAUAACCUUCCGAAAGGAGGGCUAAUACAGCAUGAGACCACGACCCCGAAAGGGGAGUGAGGUCGAAAGCCGGCCUCUUCAUGAAAGGCUGGCGCCAGGGGAGUGAGCCUGCGGCCCCAUCAGCAGUUGGUAGGGUAACGGCCUACCAAGGCAAAGACGGGUAGCUGGUCUGAGAGGAUGAUCAGCCACACUGGAAC